UACGAAGGGGGCUAGCGUUGUUCGGAUUUACUGGGCGUAAAGCGCACGUAGGCGGGUUGUUAAGUCAGGGGUGAAAUCCCGGAGCUCAACUCCGGAACUGCCUUUGAUACUGGCAAUCUAGAGUCCGGAAGAGGUGAGUGGAACUCCUAGUGUAGAGGUGGAAUUCGUAGAUAUUAGGAAGAACACCAGUGGCGAAGGCGGCUCACUGGUCCGGUACUGACGCUGAGGUGCGAAAGCGUGGGGAGCAAACAGG
rnacentral:rRNA from 1 species